rnacentral:lncRNA from 1 species
UCGACAACAACAACCGAGCUUAAGGUGGGCAGUAUAUACAAUUGUCGCUUUGCAUCUAGAUUUGUGCCUUCUGGUGUCCGGUCUGACAGGGGAUUCGAUUGUGAUGACCACGAGAUCGAGGAGAGAGGAAAAGGGGCUUCGCAUGGUUUAAAGUGGUUGGAAAGCUUGCAAACUUGAUCACAGUGUGUCAAGGGAAAGAGCACAAAACUGCGAGGAUUAUCAGCUUUGUCGGAGAAUAAUGCAUUGUUCGACGAGCUGUAACAGCAACGACCGCAACAGGACUGGACUCACUGUUGUGUUGGUUUAGAAUGAUGUGGAAUCCCAAUUGUUGGAAAUUCUGUUGUUCUUCCAUUCUAGACACUGUUUUGAUGCACCCAUGUGGCCGAAUUCCUCUUCACUUUUCUUACAGUUCCUUCUCUCAUUCUCUGCUCCCAAGUAUGCUAAAAAACUAGCACAGAAACUCACAUUAAAGAUAUGAAUGUAUAUAUAUAUAUAUAUAUAUAUAUGAGUUUCAACAUAGCACCCACUAAGGAGAUGAGUAGUGAUUCGUAACAAAUACAUGUUUGAGUGGUGAGCUUCAAGUCAGUGGAGUAUUACUUUUUGAGUAUUUUACUUCCGACUCUCAAAAGUCGGUAAAACAUGCAAGUGACCUUUUCGAAUAUUUUUACAGCUCUUGAAGUUAAAGAUUGUGACUUUUGAGAGUGUGAAAGAACAGACCAUGUGGUAAAAAAAAAAUUAAUCUAUUUAUAUUUUGUUUUUAUUUUCAGAAAUUAAUAUUGACAUGUCGUGGGAAUCAGAUUCGCUGCUUUGUGAAAGUCGUUACCUCCAAUUAUUGCAUGCAAGAAAUAAAUGUGGGGAUAGGAAUUUCUGAGAAAAUGCAUUUUAUGAGCAUUCACAAAUGUGAUGGUGAAAAUAGAAAACUUUGCACUGCAAAAUGUGAGAUUUCGUACUGAAGGUUUUUAUCAAAAAGAUGAUUUUGUGGUUGCAGAGUGAGAUAUCUAGUAUACUCAACAGUUUUUUCUUAUAGGACAUGUAUCUUUGAAUAUAUGACAACACUGUUUUUUAUAUUCAUACUAUUUUUUAGCUUGCAAAAUAAAUCACUGUUCAAUAGUUUUGCAAUUCA